GAUGAAUGCUGGCGGCGUGCCUAACACAUGCAAGUCGAGCGGUAACAGGAGUAGUUUACUACUUGCUGACGAGCGGCGGACGGCUGAGUAACGCGUGGGAACGUGCCCCAAAGUGAGGGAUAACUGCCCGAAAGGGUGGCUAAUACCGCAUAUGGUCUUCGGAUUAAAGGAUUUAUCCGCUUUGGAAGCGGCCCGCGUUAGAUUAGGUAGUUGGUAGGGUAAUGGCCUACCAAGCCUACGAUCUAUAGCUGGUCUGAGAGGAUGACCAGCCAGACUGGAACUGAGACACGGUCCAGGCUCCUACGGGAGGCAGCAGUGAGGAAUCUUCCACAAUGGGCGAAAGCCUGAUGGAGCAACGCCGCGUGAAGGAUGAAGGCCCUCGGGUUGUAAACUUCUUUUAUAAGUGAAGAAUAUGACGGUAACUUAUGAAUAAGCACCGGCUAACUACGUGCCAGCAGCCGCGGUAA
rnacentral:rRNA from 1 species